GACAGAGGUGCCAAGCGUUAGGCGGAAUCACUGGGCUUAAAGCGUGUGUAGGCGGAUCGUUAAGUACCUUGUGAAAUCCCACGGCUCAACCGUGGAACUGCUGGGUAUACUGGCGAUCUUGAGCCACCUAGGGGCGAGCGGAACAAGCGGUGGAGCGGUGAAAUGCGUAGAUAUCGCUUGGAACGCCAAUGGUGAAAACAGCUCGCUGGGGGUGUGCUGACGCUGAGACGCGAAAGCGUGGGGAGCGAACAGG
rnacentral:rRNA from 1 species